UGCGCUGGGGAUGCUUACACUGCGUUUAAACGGAGCACGGGAGCACCUGGUGGUAGUGGCGAACGGGUGAGUACAUAUAUCGGAACGUGCCCAGAUCGUCGGGGGAUAACGCAGCGAAAGCUGUGCUAAUACCGCAUACGAUCUACGGAUGAAAGCGGGGGAUCGCAAGACCUCGCGCGAUUGGAGCGGCCGAUAUCAGAUUAGCUAGUUGGUGGGGUAAAGGCCCACCAAGGCGACGAUCUGUAGCUGGUCUGAGAGGACGACCAGCCACACUGGAACUGAGACACGGUCCAGACUCCUACGGGAGGCAGCAGUGGGGAAUUUUGGACAAUGGGCGCAAGCCUGAUCCAGCAAUGCCGCGUGCAGGAUGAAGGCCUUCGGGUUGUAAACUGCUUUUGUACGGAACGAAACGGUGAGCUCUAAUAAAGUUUGCUAAUGACGGUACCGUAAGAAUAAGCACCGGCUAACUACGUGCCAGCAGCCGCGGUAAUACGUAGGGUGCGAGCGUUAAUCGGAAUUACUGGGCGUAAAGCGUGCGCAGGCGGUUAUGUAAGACAGAUGUGAAAUCCCCGGGCUCAACCUGGGACCUGCCAUUUGUGACUGCAUAGCUAGAGUACGGUAGAGGGGGAUGGAAUUCCGCGUGUACCAGUGAACAUGCGUAGGAUUUGCGGAAGGAACCCGAUUGGCGAGGCAAUCCCUGACUGUACUGACGCUCAUGCCCGAAAGCGUGGGAGCAACGGAUUUGCUUCCUGGUUUCCACGCCCUAAGAU
rnacentral:rRNA from 1 species